UCUGCAGGUCCUGGUGAACGCCAU
rnacentral:miRNA from 1 species